UCUUGCCUUCAGCUUGGACGUCAUCUCCCGGCUUCUGGCACAGACUAUCUGGCUUCUGCCUGGGACUCUUCAGCCUUUGUUGUAGACUCUUCAUCCUUCUGUUGUAGAUUCUUCUUCAGUGUUCUGUCAUAGACCCAUCGGCCUCCUAACACAGACCUGCACGGGACUCCACAGUAAGCUCAGGGCUGGACCCUUCAGCCUCCAGAGUGCGGACACCCACUGCACGGUCCCUCAUCCGACUCGGUGGCUGACAACUGGAAGAUGCCUGGAGGACAGAGAAGCCAGUCGGAACAUGGUGAGAUCACAAGCAAAGAGCACAACUCACACAGCAAUCUGCAAUUCUCCUGCCCCAGGAGACACAUCAACAGUGCAGUCAGUAUGUGAGUGCCUAUCACCAUGUAAAACAUUAAUGAUCCUGCCAUAAAUUUACUGUUGACUCCUGCCACCAGUGCACAGACUCCCCACAUCAAGAAUGUGGCCUCCUCUCUGUGAUUAUCCAUGCCCGGUGUCCUGAGUAGGGACCAUCUCUGUGACAGGUACGUAGUGAGCAGCUGUGAGUGAUAAGAUCAAUGUUUAAGUCAGAGUGGUCAUGACAUUUCUUACUUUCCUGGGCAGCUUUCCUUCUCCUCAAAGAUCUGUCACCAGGACUUUAAAAUGUGUCCCAGUGCCAACGAGGCCACUUUCAACUCUUCAAAGUAAGACUAGAGGGAAUAGCAAGAUGUUCCUUGCCUGCGUUUGACUUCUAGCAGAAGUGCUUGUGAAGCUUUGUUUGUGAAGUUUGUUUUCCUUAAAAGCCCAAAGUGUAUAUAGAUUGUGACUGCUUAUCAUGGUUUAUGUUUGUGUCCCCCAGACCUCAUGAGUUUGCAUUGUUCAUAUGUGAUGGUUCAUUGUAUAGUACUUGGAUUGAUGGUGUCAGUGCUCUACCCACAUAGGGGUGGAGCCAGGAUGUGAUGUAAUGGCAGGAAGAAGGUGUGUUUUUCUCUUUGCUGGUUUGAGUUUGCUGCUGGCGGCCACCAUGAACUGCAGCCCAGCCAUGCCUGCCUGUCUUGGAGACAACUGAGUGUGGACUGAAACCUCCAAAAACUGUAAGAAAUAAACCUUUCCUUUCCCAAUUUUGGGCUUCAGGUAUUUUGUCUCAGCAACAAGUAAAAAGUGACUAAGACAGAAAUUUGGUACCGAGGAAGUGGGGUCGUUUGCUGUGACUAUACCUGGCCAUGUUUUUCAAGAGGUUUUGGAAAUGGCUUGUGGGAGGAGUUUGGAAAGGUUUGGAUAUGUUGCCUGGAUGCAUAGGGCUGGAGCAGCUAAGGCUGUUCUGUAGAGGAGAUUCUGGUCAGAGCUCAGGAGACCAGAAAGCUGAUAGAAAGCCUGAUGGCAAAGACCAGGCUUGGGAGGUUUCUGCUGGGAAGGACUGCAUUGGUCGUUGGACUGCACAUGCUGUGUGUAAUGGCUUAGCAGAAAGUUUGUCUGCAUUUUGCUCCUGCCCAGAGACUUUGCCUGAGACUGAGACAAAGGGCAAUGGACUGAUUAAUCUUGAAAAAGAAAUUAAAAAGCAACCAAAUGUUGAGGCUGUGGCAUGGCUAUUGUUGGUGGCUUUCAGCCAGCUUUAUGUUUUGAAUCAGGAGCAAAGAGCCCAGCACGAUAAUGUACAAUGCUGUGAGUGUGGCCCGAAGGAAGAUUCCAGGAAGGGUGUGGAUUGUAAAGACAGAGUUGAGAUUUUGAUUCCUGAGGAGAAACAGAGAGAUAAGAAAUAUGGCCCCGGGUCAUCCCAGGAAGCAAGUCCCUACCCUGUGCAGCCUCACAGCAAAGAUGAAAAAUUUUGCUCAGAGGAAAAAUCUACAGAGUGCCAUGCUCCAGAAUGGCGACAGAGGCCAAGUGAGGUUCCAGAAUGGCGACAGAGGCCAAGUGAGGUUCCAGAAUGGCGACAAGAGGCCAUGUGAGGUUCCAGAAUGGCGACAGAGGCCACAUGAGUUUCCAGAAAAGCGGCAACAUAGAGAAGCUUUUCAUCACAAUCAGGUAAACAGAGCCCUGCGAUCCAGGCAACUGACCCCUACAGCCAAGAGAGAGAAAAGCCUGGCUACUGCUUCAGCUAGCAGCAAACCUUGGUGGCAUGCACAAGGUGCUGAUUUUAGGUGCAAGGAAAAUGCACAAAUUCUGAGGGUAAGAUGGCUUCCACCUCGAUUGCAAAGGGCCCGGGAGGCCAAGCAGUGUGUCCCCGAGAGGGCAAUUUGUGAAGAUGUAAGGGUGAAGCCAAAGGUGCAGUGGAGACCCCAGAAGUUUGGAAAAGCCAGGAACGUGGAUGAUCCAAGGAAAGCUGCAAAAAGUGAGCAGAGAGUAUUUAAGAGAAAAGCUGCGGGAGUUGAAAUCGCUGGAAAUGCCCUGGGGGUGGAAUCACCCAAGGCUUUUGGAAUUUGCAACCAGAUUGCUUCAGAUGCUGAGUGUAGAACUCUAGGACUUAAUGUUUGCCCUGCUGGAUGUUGGAAUUGCUUUGUUUCGAAUGCUUUCUAUUCUCCUGUUUCUAACUUUUGGAAUGGUAAUGUUUAUCUUGUGCCUUUGCAUUUCAGAAAUGUUUAACCUUGUUUCUUUUGUACAGGGGCUUACAGUUAAGAGUUUGCCAUAGACCUUGGAGGAGACUUGGGACUUGGACUUUUCAGCAAUGUUGAAGCUGUUAGGACUUUGGCAACUCUUGGAGGUAGACUAAAUGUCUUUUGUAUAAAGGAUGUACAUGAGUCCUGGGGGCCAGGGGUGGAAUGUCAUGGUUUAUGUUUGUGUCCCCCAGGCCUCAUGAGUUUGCAUUGUUCAUAUGUGAUGGUUCAUUGUAUAGUGUUUGGAUUGAUGGUGUCAGUGCUCCACCCACAUAGGGGUGGAGCCAGGAUGUGAUGUAAUGGCAGGAAGAAGGUGUGUUUUUCUCUUUGCUGGUUUGAGUUUGCUGCUGGCGGCCACCAUGAACUGCAGCCCAGCCAUGCCUGCCUGUCUUGGAGACAACUGAGUGUGGACCGAAACCUCCAAAAACUGUAAGAAAUAAACCUUUCCUUUCCCAA